rnacentral:rRNA from 1 species
UAGGGAAUCUUCCGCAAUGGGCGAAAGCCUGACGGAGCAACGCCGCGUGAGUGAAGAAGGAUUUCGGUUCGUAAAGCUCUGUUGUUAGGGAAGAAUGAUUGUGUAGUAACUAUACACAGUAGAGACGGUACCUAACCAGAAAGCCACGGCUAACUACGUGCCAGCAGCCGCGGUAAUACGUAGGUGGCAAGCGUUGUCCGGAAUUAUUGGGCGUAAAGCGCGCGCAGGUGGUUUAAUAAGUCUGGUGUGAAAGCCCACGGCUCAACCGUGGAGGGUCAUUGGAAACUGUUAAACUUGAGUGCAGGAGAGAAAAGUGGAAUUCCUAGUGUAGCGGUGAAAUGCGUAGAGAUUAGGAGGAACACCAGUGGCGAAGGCGGCUUUUUGGCCUGUAACUGACACUGAGGCGCGAAAGCGUGGGGAGCAAACAGGAUUAGAUACCCUGGUAGUCCACGCCGUAACGAUGAGUGCUAAGUGUUGGUCUCAUAAGAGAUCAGUGCUGCAGCUAACGCAUUAAGCACUCCGCCUGGGGAGUACGACCGCAAGGUUG